AACCCUUGGUAAAGCUGUAAAAAAUAUUAUUGGCAAAGCACCAGCCAUGUGCAUAAUAGCCCUUUUACAAAUGGCAGCUAUUUCUGUUAUUAAUCACUGUAGCUGCGUCUAGAUCAUUCUUUGAUUAAUUUUCAUCUGUUCCACUAGAAUACAGCUUCAGGUCUGUUGUGCUAACACUGUGUUCCCAAUACCCGGCACAUAGUAGGUGCUUAUGAAAUAGUUGUGGUUGCAAAUCGGAGAAGCUAUGAACCUGCUACUUUCUCCUGGGCCACCUCACAACCCAGAGGGUUAAUUAAUCCCAACAGGAGCAGAUUGGAUGAUUCUAGGCCUGUGUGAAUGAGACACACAGGACAGGCGAGACACACAGGACAGGCAUGACCCACAGUCAACACCCCCGGGAGAAGGAGGACAGGGGAGGUCGAAACAGGGAUGCAGGACCUGUGAUGAAACUCACACCCCACUGCACCGAUAGUGGAAGACUUGGCCUUUAGACCAUAGAUAUGUUCUAAAAUGAGGCAGCUGAAGAGCCUUGAGGAACUAGACAGACCUGGGUUCGAAUCCCAGUUUCGCUGGGCUGUGCGACCUCAAGCAAGUCACUGCAAAUCUCUGAGCCUCAGUUUCUUCAUCUGUGCAAUGCGGGUACUGAUAUUGCUCAGCUCUCUGUGGGGAAUGCAGUGAGGGUUAAAUAUGGUUAUGGAUAUAUGGUUAUGGAUGUAUGGUACACUGAUUCAUAUGCCCUCCUUCAGCCUUACACACUUGUACACGCACACACACGGAACCCCUACUGUGUGCCAGGAAACAUGCCAAGCGCUAGAGAGGCAGUGGUGGGCCAACCCCCAGGCCUCUCUCCUUGUGGACUUUGCAUCUUGAGUGACAAUUGCUCAGCAGUAUCCUCAGAGAAUCUGAUGUCAUUGGUCUAGGUGGGGCCCAGGAGCCAGUAUUUUAAUUUUUUAAUUUUAAUGGGGUCUCGCCAUGUUACCCAGACUGGUCUCAAAAUCCUGAGCCCAAGCAAUCCUCCUGCUUCAAUUUCCCAAAGUAUUGGAAUUACAGACAUGAGCCAGCAUACCCAGCCUAGAUGUCAAUUUUUUUUCGAGACAGGGUCUCGCUCUGUCACUGAGGCUGGAGUGCAGUGGUGCGAUCACGGCUCACUGCAGCCUCAACCUCCUGGGCUCAGUCAAUCCUCCUGCCUUCCUGCUGCAUGGGAUAGGGUCAUUCCCUCUUUACACACAUGAAAACGGAGGCCCAGAGAGUUGAGGCGACUUGCCCAAGGCUCCACAGCUAAGAAAGAGUGGAACUGGGACUGAACCCAGACAAGGUGACCAUGGGACCAGAACCACCUGAAACAUCACAAGAGGGUUAAAGACAAUGUGCCCAGCAGAGAUGUGCCCACUGCCCAAUCUCACUCUCACCUUCGACUUGACCCCAGCCAGGGAACGCCCAGCCCUCCUGGGCUGAUCAGAGCAGAGCAAGGGGCUGGGAAGGAGUCCCGCUUCCAACCAGUGGCCCUUUAGCACCCCCAACACCCACACAGUUGACCAGAGUCCCCCAUCUCUACCCUGAGCUGGGGUUGAGGCCUUGGGGUAGUUUUGCUCCUCCUCCCCCUCCCCCUUUAGAAUGACAGCAGGCCUGGCUCGGGGACAGACUCACAGGCUGGUGGCAGCUGUGCCGUUUUACAAGCCCAGAGACAGUGGGGGGACUGUUCAGGCCCUGGCAGACUCCUGGGCCCCUGAGAACAGUGGAACC
rnacentral:lncRNA from 1 species